rnacentral:lncRNA from 1 species
UUUGGGAGAGGGAAGGAGCGAGGUUGAGCCGUCGUUACCGUCUUCACCACCGGAGGUGAGCUCUCUUUUGCUUCAGCCUUUGUUUUUUGUAUGAUUCGAGAGUGAUUGAGAGAAAGGGUUGAGGUCGAGGAUGGAUUGAUUGAGGGAGAUGAGGGCAUUUGGGUGUGAGAUGAACGAAGAAGAAAGAGUGAACGAAGUGAGAGAGAGGGUUGUGGGUGAGAUUGAGUCGAGAGAAGAGGGAUUGAGAGAGACGAUUCCAUUUUUGAUUUUUUUUCUUUCUUUAUUUUCUUUUUUUCAAUUUAGUAUUAAAUAGGGUAAGUAGUUUUAAAAAAACAUUAUUAUUAAAAAGGAUUCCUUUAAUUUUCCUAGGUACAGCCAAUUAAUAUUUUCAUUUCCCAUUCCCUUUUUGAAGAAACCAACGGCCAGGGGUGGGAUUUAAUUAGGGAACUCUACAGUUUUUUUUACUAUUUAAUUUUUUCAUUUUAAUUCUUUUUUAGUUUAUCUUAGUUUAUACAUUUAAGUUAGCAUUAAAAUAUCAGUUAGUUAGUAAGUGGUCUGGUGGAGGGGAGUGGCUUCUGGAUCUUUAGUGUAGUGGGUUCGAUACUCUUAGGCGUAGUUUUUCUUUCUUUUAAUAUUUUCUUUUAUAUUUAUGCUUUAUUAUUCAUAUUUCUUUUUUUAUUUAUUGUUUAAUAAUAUAGAUUUGUUUUUUUCUUUUAAUUGCAUCAUGCAUUCGAAACCAUUUUUUUAACUUAUAAAAAUCAUAUUUUCUCGAUUCAAUAUCGAGCCCAUUUUCACACCCUUGUAAGUCGAUUGCUUUUAAGCAUCGCCAUCAACCUCACAUAGCUUACUCUUGGGCUUUCUUACAAUGAGCCGGUUCUCUUGCACUUACACUCAUGCAUUACAUUAUUUGUUGUUUGGG